AGGGAAAUCAAACAAAUAUAGAAUAACUUAUGUAUUAAUCUAGUCGGCUGUUAACUGACAGUUAAUUCAGAAGAACGCGUUGGAUUGUGUCGUGUCUGUCGUGAAUAAUUUUAAAUUUUUAUAAAUUUAGUGUGGAGAAACUAAUAAUUAAAUGUAAACAAAUUGAAAUAAGGAAAUAAGUGAAAGUUUUUAAUGACUUUUGUGUGUAAAAGUGCAGUGGUAUCUAUAAAACACAAUCAUUUAUCUAGGAGUCCAGGUCAUGUCUAACAACAUCGUAACUUCCACUCGUAUAGAGCAACUUAUCGACUGAAAAUAUAUUGAAUGAUUCAAUUGAUAUACGAGGUUCUGUUUGAUAACAUCAUAACCUCUUCUCGUUUUCAGCAAUUUUUCGACGAAAAAUUUACCGAUUAAUAAAUUUUUAUUACGGGUUGUGUUUAAUGGCAUCAUAACCCCCCCUCGUUUUUAACUACUUUUCGACGAAACAUUUACCGAAUAAAUAAUUCUUUUAAACGGGGUAGGGUUUAUAAAAAAUUUGUAAUUAAGUUUGAUUGCAUCAGUUUUUAGUUCGGCGUAAAAGUUGAGGUUAGAAUGUUUCAGGUUAUGUCACAUUGCCUCUUAACACUAACCUCAACUAAAAAUAUAUUGAAUGAUGUAAUUAUUGUACAGGGUAUGGUCAAUAAAUUGUAAUGACGAUAAAA